CUCAGCUUGAUUGACGCCAUGUUCAAUUGAAGUCUGCCAUUAAUAUUGUGAAGUUGUGCUUCUAUUUUUCGCAGACUAAAAGAAUAUUGCUGCGUUGCCGAAACUAGUCGAGACAGUCAUUUUGUACUUUUGAAUUUGUUUACGGUGCUCGUCAAAUUGAAACAUAAAAAAGCAAGUACGACAAUAAUGGCUGACGAAAGCAUACUAAAUGAUUCAAAUCUGGGAAUACUUGGAUCCAACGAUGAUGAUUCGGAACUAAUCGUUGAGGACGAUUACCUAAAGGGAGCCGAGAUGCAGAUUGAUCCGGAACUGGAAGCGAUUAAAGCUCGUGUGAAAGAGAUGGAAGAAGAAGCAGAAAAAUUAAAACAGCUUCAAUCCGAAGUUACCAAACAAAUGACACUAGGAUCGCCCACUGGUGUCACUCCUGUUUUAACAGCCGAAGAAAAGGCAGAAAUUGAUAAUCGUUCGAUCUAUGUCGGCAAUGUUGACUAUGGAGCCACAGCCGAAGAGUUGGAAGCGCAUUUUCAUGGCUGUGGUACAAUCAAUCGGGUGACAAUACUGUGCAACAAAGCCGAUGGUCAUCCGAAAGGCUUCGCUUACAUAGAGUUUGGUUCCAAAGAAUUUGUUGAAACGGCGUUAGCUAUGAACGAGACACUUUUCCGUGGACGGCAAAUUAAGGUAAACCCAAAACGUACAAACCGACCAGGAAUGUGCACAACAAACCGGUUCCCUCGCGGUAUGCGUGGUCGAGCUACCAGGGUUUCGCGAGCCUGCUGUUACGGAGGACACCGUGGAUCCCGGAGGCCAGCUCGUGGAUACCGAGGAAGAGCCUUCUACGCCCCGUACUAGGAACCAGCGGAAUGAUCCCUAAAUCGAUGGCUUAAGGCUUACGUUCAUUUUUAGCAUAACACAACCGACUAGGAGCCGCUCAAGGACCUAUGAUUAAAAUUAUUAUUGUCAAAAUAAUGUCUAUUCAAAAAACAUUAUUUAUCUUCAAAUAUUCUCAAUAAGUGAAAAGAAGGCCACCAGUCGCCUCAGAUGCAAAAUUCAAUUUCCCACUUAAGCAGACCACUAAGAAAAAGCCAUUGUCAGUAACCGCCAGCAUGAAUAAUGUUUUUUGAAGCAAUUCAAAAAAGGAAUAAUGAGUUGGAAUUCCACUACACUUCAAAUUGAUAUUUCCACAAAAAAAGCCAACAUCAACAGCAAAAAAGAUGCGGAUCAAAGUAAAAAAGACAUGGCGCGAAAAGAUGGCAGUCAAAAAAAAAAAAAUAAAAAAAUGAAAUUAAAAAAACGGGAAACGCAAAACAUGAGAACUUCCGAUCCGCCAUUAUUUGCUAAAAAAUAAUGAGUUGAGAAAAGACGACAAAUGCUUAAAAAAAGAAAGAUAUGCAAUCAAAUAAAAGAGGACACGGAGAGCCCACCACAAAAAAGAAGGAGCAACAAAAAAACGACUAGGAAGAUAUAUGAAAGAUGCAAGAAAGUAAAUUAUUAGAUUUUCAAAAUACAAGGUAUAAAGAAUACGAA